GACGAACGCUGGCGGCGUGCUUAACACAUGCAAGUCGAACGGUAAGGCACUACGUUGCUGGGGUACACGAGUGGCGAACGGGUGAGUAACACGUGGGUAACCUGCCCUGCACUUUGGGAUAAGCUUAGGAAACUGGGGCUAAUACCGGAUAGGAGCACGGCGUGGAUAGUGUGGAGGGGAGAUUUUGCGCGGUUGGCUGGGGACGCGGCGUAUCAGCUUGUGGGUGGGGGAGUGGCGUCCCACGACGGCGACGGGGAGCCGGCCUGGGAGGGUGGACGGCGACAUUGGGACUGCGACACGGCCCAGACUCCUACGGGAGGCAGCAGUGGGGAAUAUUGCACAAUGGGCGGAAGCCUGAUGCAGCGACGCCGCGUGGGGGAUGACGGCCUUCGGGUUGUAAACAGCUUUCGCCUGCGACGAAGCGUUUCUGACGGUAGCGGGAGAAGAAGCACCGGCUAACUACGUG
rnacentral:rRNA from 1 species